GAUUGGGUUUGAUCCUGGCUCAGAACGAACGCUGGCGGCAGGCCUAACACAUGCAAGUCGAGCGCUACCUUCGGGUGGAGCGGCGGACGGGUUAGUAACGCGUGGGAAUAUACCCUUCACUAUGGAAUAGCCUCGGGAAACUGAGAGUAAUACCAUAUACGCCCUUCGGGGGAAAGAUUUAUCGGUGAAGGAUUAGCCCGCGUAAGAUUAGAUAGUUGGUGGGGUAAUGGCCUACCAAGUCUACGAUCUUUAGCUGGUUUUAGAGGAUGAUCAGCAUCUCUGGGACUGAGUACUCGGCCCAAACUCCUACGGGCAGGUAGCUUUGGCGCGUCUCUACACAUGCGUCGAAAAR
rnacentral:rRNA from 1 species